rnacentral:tRNA from 1 species
GCCUGGGUGGCUCAGUCGGUUGAGCGUCUGACUUCGGCUCAGGUCAUGAUCUCACAGAUAGUGGGUUCGAGCCCCGCAUCGGGCU